UACGUAGGGUGCGAGCGUUAAUCGGAAUUACUGGGCGUAAAGCGUGCGCAGGCGGUUCGUUAAGUUCGUUGUGAAAGCCCCGGGCUCACCUGGGAAUUGCAUUCGAGACUGAAUAGCUAGGGUACGGUAGAGGGAAGUGGAAUUUCCGGUGUAGCGGUGAAAUGCGUAGAUAUCGGAAGGAACAUCAGUGGCGAAAGCGACUUCCUGGACCAGUACCGACGUUCAGGCACGAAAGCGUGGGGAGCAAACAGG
rnacentral:rRNA from 1 species